UACGGAGGGGGCAAGCGUUGUUCGGAUUUACUGGGUGUAAAGGGUUCGUAGGCGGCAUUGUAAGUGGGAUGUGAAAUCUCUGAGCUUAACUCAGAAACUGCAUUCCAUACUGCUAAGCUAGAGUACCGCAGAGGUGAAUGGAAUUCUCGGUGUAAGGGUGAAAUCUGCAGAUAUCGAGAAGAACGCCAGUGGUGAAGACGAUUCACUGGGCGGAUACUGACGCUGAGGAACGAAAGCUAGGGGAG
rnacentral:rRNA from 1 species